AAAACUUAUCAAAUUUUAGUGUUGCACUAAAAUUUGGAUAUCAAAGAUGCUAUUACUAUUGUGAUCGCUCUUUGGAAAUCUAUAGGUCUUCAAGUUACUAUUUGUGAAACGUGAUAAGAAAUUACUUCGUUCUCUUAUAGUUGGCUUGUAUGCUCCUCAAAUUUGGAAGCCUUUGGU
rnacentral:misc_RNA from 1 species